AUCCUGGAUUUUUGGCACCGAAAAUAGUCGGGCGGGCGCGCGGCUGGCGAGGGCGGCGCGCAGUGCGAGUCGCUCCGCCGUGUGAAUAGCCCGCUCGUGAGGCCGUAACUGGCGUAUUUUUUCGACCGGACCGUAGAAGUAAACCGCCGCCACCAUGGACGCGAUCAAGAAGAAGAUGCAGGCGAUGAAGCUGGAGAAGGACAACGCCAUGGACAAGGCCGACACCUGCGAGCAGCAGGCCAGGGACGCCAACCUCCGCGCCGAGAAGGUCAACGAGGAAGUCCGUGAGCUCCAGAAGAAGCUUACCCAGGUGGAGGAAGACCUUACGCUCAACAAGAACAGACUGGACCAGGCCAACAAGGACCUCGAAGAGAAGGAGAAGACCUUGGCCGCCACCGAGGCUGAGGUCGCCUCCCUCAACAGGAAGGUCCAGCAGAUUGAGGAGGACCUGGAGAAGUCUGAGGAGAGGUCCGGCACAGCCCAGCAGAAGCUGCUCGAGGCCCAGCAGUCCGCUGACGAGAACAACCGUAUGUGCAAAGUAUUGGAGAACAGGGCACAGCAGGACGAGGAGCGCAUGGACCAGCUCACCAACCAGCUGAAGGAGGCCCGUCUGCUCGCUGAGGACGCCGACGGCAAGUCUGACGAGGUAUCCCGCAAACUGGCCUUCGUUGAAGACGAGCUCGAAGUCGCUGAGGACCGUGUCAAGUCUGGAGACGCCAAAAUCUCAGAACUUGAGGAAGAAUUAAAGGUCGUAGGUAACUCCCUUAAAUCCUUGGAAGUAUCCGAGGAGAAGGCCAACCAGCGCGUAGAAGAAUUCAAAAAACAGCUGAAGACCCUCACCAGUAAACUCAAGGAAGCCGAAGCCCGCGCCGAGUUUGCCGAAAAGACUGUCAAGAAACUGCAGAAGGAGGUCGACAGGCUUGAAGACGCAUUGUUCAACGAGAAGGAGAAAUACAAGGCGAUAUGCGAUGACUUGGACGGAACAUUCGCUGAGCUCACUGGAUACUAACCGACCCUUAACGCACUUAGUUUAAGACAAAACGUCCGUCACAGUCCUUCUACCCCCCACCGGCACCUGAACCAGUCACCUUUUUAUACGUACCUAAGAAACCCCACAUCUCUCGUUCAAUUUCCAGGACCUUCAAUGUGGAACCAGUCUUUAAAGCUUUAUAAAUCUUUUUAUCUAACUAACAUAACCUUAACCCGAUGUCUGAAGGUUGGCCUUCCACAAGAAAUAGGGUCAGGCCCUCCUUUAGAGAUCCAUUUAGAUGUAAGCCCUGCUUUUCGUGUUGUGAUUAACUUGUCUUAUGCUUUGCUGCUACCGUCGCGGACCAAUGCCUUCAAGAUGAGCUGGGCAUCAACAAGGACCGCUACAAGAGCUUGGCCGACGAGAUGGACUCGACCUUCGCCGAGCUGGCCGGCUACUAAGCGCCGCACCACGCCACCACGCCACCACACCACCACCACCACACACAUUCGACCGCCUGCCGCGAGCAGACGCAACACAAACGUUAUACACGUGAUGUAAUAAUAUUUAUUAAUAUUUUAUGUAAAUUUAUUUACGAUUUUCAAUAAAAUUAAUUUAUAACAGUU